GCAGUAUCCUAACUGUGCUAAGGUAGCAUAAUCAUUAGUCUUUUAAUUGGAGACUGGUAUGAAUGGCUUAACGAGAAAUUGACUUUUUUUGUUAUAAAAAUUGAAUUUAAUUUUUUAGUGAAAAAGCUAAAAUAGUUCAGAAAGACGAGAAGACCCUAUAGAGUUUUAUGUUAUAUUAGAUUCAUUUUUAGUAGAUUUUUAAAAUAUGAGUUUAAAAAAACAUUUUGUUGGGGCGACAUUUAGAUAUAAGAAACUCUUUAUUUUUAUAAUUUUAGUAAAAAUUUUAACUGAUCCUUUAAAAAAGAUCAAAAGAAAAAAUUACCUUAGGGAUAACAGCGUAAUCUUUUUUGAGAGUUCUAAUCGACAAAAAGGUUUGCGACCUCGAUGUUGGACUAAAAUUUAGACAGGGUGCAGUAGUUCUGUUUUAAGGUCUGUUCGACCUAUA
rnacentral:rRNA from 1 species